rnacentral:tRNA from 1 species
GCCGGCGUGGCGAAAUGGCAGACGCGAUAGACUCAAAAUCUAUUAUGGGCAACCAUGUGUGGGUUCGAAUCCCUCCGCCGGCA